rnacentral:rRNA from 1 species
UGAGGAAUAUUGGUCAAUGGGCGGAAGCCUGAACCAGCCAUGCCGCGUGAAGGAAGAAGGUCCUAUGGAUUUUAAACUUCUUUUGUCGGAGAGCAAUAAGGGUCUCGUGAGAUCCGAUGAGAGUAUCCGACGAAUAAGCAUCGGCUAACUCCGUGCCAGCAGCCGCGGUAAUACGGGGGAUGCGAGCGUUAUCCGGAUUCAUUGGGUUUAAAGGGUGCGUAGGCGGCUUUGCAAGUCAGCGGUGAAAGGCCCGGGCUCAACCCGGAAAGUGCCGUUGAUACUGUGAGGCUGGAAUGCGGAUGCUGUGGGAGGAAUGAGUGGUGUAGCGGUGAAAUGCAUAGAUAUCACUCAGAACACCGAUUGCGAAGGCAUCUCACAAAUCCGCAAUU